rnacentral:lncRNA from 1 species
GUUUCCAUGGCAACGGUGGCCAUUUUGGAAAUUCCAACUUCAAAAGUCUCAUUCAGACUUGUCAGUGUACAAUCCUAUUAAGUUUCAUCAAUUUUGGAGCAUUUUGAAAUUUUUGAAAUUUUUGACAUUUGGGAUGGUUCCUAUGGCAACAGAGACCGUUCCCAAAAUUGAAUGGCAUAUACCACAUUGGUACAUGGGAGGGACCAUACCAUCAAAGUUUCAAUCAAUUUGACCUACCAUUUUAAGAAAGUAAAUGCCACUUGAAGGUUUUUAGACCAUUUUGACCUGUUUUGCAUUGUUUCCAUGGUAACGGCAGACAUUUUCGAAAUUGCAACGCCAAAUUCCACAUCUACCAAUGUUGCUCAUCAUUACUGUGAAGUUUUAUAAAAUUUGGAGCAUUUCCAUAUUUUUGAAAUUUUUGGUGUAGUAUCCAUGGCAACAUAGCAGUUCCAAUGAUUGCCAAAAUCAUCCAAAACCAGUAUAUGCCCGGCACCUACAUUGUAUCAAAAUAUAAUGAUUCUAAGUUAAAGCAUUUCCAAAUAAUUCAUCAAAACCAAAAACUGGAAUUUUCCAUUAUUUUUCGGUUUCCAUGGUGAUGGCAGCCAUUUUUUAGUUCCAAAGUUGCACUGCAACUGGAAAGUCAGGGUUCCUUGUUAUAGUGCACCAUCAUUCAGAUUGGUUCCUUUGGCUCUGAGAAAACUGCCGGACAAAACUAGGUGGAAGAAAAAUAAUAAUAACUAGAUUUGCCAUUGCAAGCAAUAGCGGAUGUCACCCUUCCCCCUAUUGCCACUAAGCGGCAGCCAUUUCUAUGGCAACAGCA